UACGUAGGUGACAAGCGUUGUCCGGAUUUACUGGGCGUAAAGAGCGCGCAGGCGGUCGUUCAAGUCGAGUGUGAAAGCCCCCGGCUCAACUGGGGAGGGUCAUUCGAUACUGAUCGACUCGAAGGCAGGAGAGGGAAGUGGAAUUCCCGGUGUAGUGGUGAAAUGCGUAGAUAUCGGGAGGAACACCAGUGGCGAAGGCGACUUCCUGGCCUGUUCUUGACGCUGAGGCGCGAAAGCGAUGGGGAGCAAA
rnacentral:rRNA from 1 species